AAUCCAUCCAUACAUACAUCACACAGUGCUCAUCCCUGACAAGUGCACUCCUUAAUCCCCAUCACCUAUUUUACCCAUUUCCCCCAUCCCUCCCCUCUCGUAACCUCAAUUUCUCUGGUAGUGACCAGGGAUGCUGCCAAUCAUUCAACCAUGAACCACACACCCACCCCCACAAAAAAGAAUGCUAAUUUCUUGGUUUGGAUAAAUGUACCAUGCUUAUGUAAGAUGUUAGCGUUAGAGGAAACUUGGUAAAAGGUAUACAGGAACACUGUACUAUCUUUGCAACUCCUAUAUAUCUGAAACUAUUUCAAAAUAUAUAAAUAAAGCUUAUACUUAAGGGCAACAUACAGCUUCAGAGUCAAACAAUCGAUAUUUUCAUAAUUUAUUUCUAUUACAGUGUACUAUGUACUAUAGCUGAAGUAUUGUUUUGAUUUUUUGCAAAUUACUUGAAUCAAUGAAAUUUAUAUUGCCAGUGAUAUAUGUUGACAUUUUUGAGACCAAUAACAUACUUUCAAAUGUCUUCAAAGGGGUCUUUAAUCAUCUUACCUAAAAUACCUCCUCUGUGGAUCAAUCUUGUUUUUUCUUUCUUUGUUUUCCAGAGAACUUGUUUUCUGUAAUAAUUUUGUUCAUUUGUUGAGUGUUGCCUUUUUUUGGAAUAUAUGCUCCCUGAAGGCAGGGGCUUUCUUGUACCUCUAGGUCCAGAACUGUCACAUUAGAGAUGGAUACUUAAUAAAUAUUUGUUGAGUGAAUUAUCUGUAUCUGUGUUGCAUCUUCCUGUUAAGCGGUAUUCAAAGGAUGGGGCUUCUUUAAACCCACUGGGCUGUGAAGAUUGAAGUCCCAACCAUAGUAUUUAACUUAACCUUGAUGAAAGUAACUCCUCUUUCUUAAGUAUAAAGAUGUAUUUGUCUACAUAUUUAAACUUUUUCACAGCUAAAGACAAAUCCUUUCCUUUCUGCUGGGAAUGCUGGGUAAGGAGAUGAUAAGGUAGAUAUCUGUGAUUUUAUACUUUCCUGUCAGAUCUUUCUGAUUUCUCCUAGAAAGCUUUUACUUCACCUGAUGAGAUGUUCUUCAAACCAACCGCCUUUCAUUUGAUAGGAUUUGGACCAUUUCCAGAACAAUUUAUAAGAGUUCCUGUCCAAUUAAAUUCUUGGGUAAAAUGUUCCCAUUUGAUUCAGAUUAUUUUCAAACAUAAAAUUUGUGAUAAGCAUCAAAGGUAGAAAUUGGCAAGCACAUGCCCAUCUCUCACAUGGUAGCACCUGGUACAUUAUUGAGUUAUUUGUUGACCUUAGUGGUGGCACAAAUGAAAAAAUCAUCAAUCCCACCCGGGAAGUAUGGAAAGGAUGGGACCCUUAGUCUGUGUUUUAAAGAAAGAAAAACAGGAGCAGUGAGCCCUAAAUUGUAAAUGUUUCCACAAUAUUCCCCAUGUAAGAUACAGAUAGAAAAUUGAUUCACUUUGAUAAUAAGAUCUUAAAGUGUAUCUAACCUACCCCCUACUUAGAAAACUUGUUUUCUACAGAAAACCGCAGUUUUUUCUUACUGUUGCGUAUGAAGAGGAUGUAAAACAAAUAAGUGAAAAUAAACCCCGGGUUAUUCCAAACCAAAGUAACCAUUUUGCAUCUUUCUCAAAUACUAAAUACUUGGUGAAUCUAGGUGCAUACAUAUAUUUAGGUACUGAGACAUAAAAAACUGUUGGAAUUGGUGAUUAUCAAUGUACCUACCUAUUGUAUUUUUCUUGUCCUAUAAUAUCUCCACAGAUUCUAUUAUUUGGUCAGAAUCAAGACUGAAAGCUGUUUCACAACAAAGUUUAGAAAUGAAAAUUCCAUGGAGAUGUUGAGAACACAAAGCUGUGGAGUCCUAUUGGUUCAAAUUAAUUAUGUUCUAUGCUCCUAUCAUAUCUACCUUUAAAUGAGGGAACUGAGCUGCAAGAGGAUAAAUAAGCUACCAUAGCCAUGAGAGAAGGUCAGUCUGGCCUACAUGGAAUCUUCAUGGUUACAUGUGUCUAAAUGAACUAAUGUCUAUUGCUGAUAAAUGAUUCUGGUCAUCAGCUACAUGCUAUUUCUUUUCUAUCUUCCUAUUCAUUUUGUAGAACAAGGCUGAUUCUAAGGAUUGGAGUUUUGACGCAGAAGAUAAAGAUUCAGACUCAUACCUUGCCAUUCUCUGAAAAUGAACUUGUUGCCUACAGAAAUAGUCUUAAUUUCUGAUCAUCACUAUCACAACCUAUCCAUGGUCCAAAGCCUUGUCCCAUAUAAAGAUUCAUUUGGAGGGCC